rnacentral:tRNA from 1 species
GCCUGGGUGGCUCAGUCGGUUAAGCGUCUGACUUCAGCUCAGGUCAUGAUCUCAUGGUUCAUGAGUUCAAGCCCCUUGUCGGGCU